rnacentral:tRNA from 1 species
GGCUCGGUGGUGCAGUGGAUAGCACUGUCGUUUCACAGCAAGAAGGUCCCCGGGUUUGAAUCCUGGCCUGAGGCU